rnacentral:rRNA from 1 species
CCCUUAGAUGUUCUGGGCCGCACGCGCGCUACAAUGGUCUUCGCAAACGGAUGCAUUCUCGAAGGAGAAUGCCAAUCUUGGAAUCUAUGCCUUGGUCGGGACAGUUGCUUGCAAUUUUUCGACUCGAACCAGGAAUUCCUUGUAAUCGUGAUUCAUCACAUCACGAUGAUUACGUCCCUGCCCUUUGUACACACCGCCCGUCGCACCUACCGAUUGAAUGGUCCGGUGAGGACUCGGGAUUGUGGUUUAGCUCCUUCAUUGGGGCCUGACUGCGAGAACUUGUCCGAACCUUAUCAUUUAAAGGAAGGUGAAGUCGUAACA